GACGUGAACGAAUGUCUCUCAAACUCAACAUGCAACGCGAAUGCAACAUGUAACAACACAGAAGGAUCUUAUACAUGCACGUGUGAUUCUGGAUACAGUGGUGAUGGAUUUUCUUGCGUUGGUAUGCACAGCAUUGAGUUUUUUCAAUUAUUGUAACAGUCAGAAAAACUAGAAACCUGUUAUUAUAUAGUUAUACGAAACCCAAAACUGUUGCAGAAAAUGCAACUAUUGGCACUUUAGCUGUUUAGCAGGAGUCAUACCUGCAACCCUACUAUACCGGUGCAGCUCUAUAACCAACUGAGCUGCGCAGCGGCAGUUGUUGAGCUCUAUCAAAAAAUUCAUGUACAAAGACAAAGUUGGUCCCAAUGUACGCUGUAUGGCUAAAUAGCAACAUUUUGGGAAUCGCGCUCGCUAUGACCCCUUGUUGAAGGGAUUUAACAGACUGACUGGGACGUAGGUUGGUUUCUUUAAACGAGAAUAAUUGUUACGUUUUUUUUAACAGCUUUUGGAAUAGGUCUCACUAAGUCAUGAAAAAUUCCACUUUUAUGAUUACCUCGUACGAUUAGUUGAAAACUUCAUAUAAUUCUCAUGUAGAUGUGAACGAAUGUCUCUCAAACUCAACAUGCAUCGCGAGUGCAACAUGUAACAACACAGAAGGAUCUUAUACAUGCACGUGUGAUUCUGGAUACUGUGGUGAUGGAUUUUCUUGCAUUGGUACGCGCAGCACUGAAUUACAAAUUAUUAUAACCGUCUGAAUAACUAUAGGAUCCAGAUAUUAUAUAGUUAGACCAAAUCCAAACCUUUUGUAGAAAAUGCAAUUACUGGCACUCUAUAGCAGGAGUCAUACCUGCAAUCCCACGAUACAGGUACAGCUCUAUAACAAACUGAGCUAGGGAGUGACUGUUGUUAAACUCUAACAACAAAUUCAUGUAUAAAUACAAAGUAGGUCUAAAUGUACGCUGUAUGGGUAAAUUGCAAGAUUUUGGGAAUCUCGCUCUCUAUGUCGACCCCUUGCUGAAGGUUUUACAAAUGAAUUUUAAUGCAGUAUUUAUAUAUAAAAUUUAAAAUACUCAUUAAAAAUUCAUAAACAUGCAAUUGUGGCAAAUCAUGUCAGCCAUAAUAUCUCACGUGGAGUGACUUUAUAUCUGAUAAAACUCAUCUUCAUUAGUGUUCUUUACAUAAUUCUUCAUCCUAAUUAGUACGAUUAUAUAGUUGUUCAUCGUAAUUAUAGUAUUCUUUUGUUGUCAUAUUUUAAGCUAUUCAAAACACUCGAACUCGCGUUUUAUCAUAUCUAAAACGAUCGGCUGGGCUUCGCGUUUUAAAUAUGAUAAAACACUUCUUCUUGUGUUUUAAAUAGUACUUAUGUUGUAAGUUAUGAGACAUAACCAGGAGCACUUCCAAAAAAAUGCAACUCGAUACCCGCACAUUUUCAUCACCUUAAUAUUUUAUUAGAACGCCGAUACAGACUGAUUGGGCAGUAGGUUGGUUUUUUAAACAAGAAUAAUUGUUACGUUUUUUUAACAGCUUUUGGAAUAGGUUUCACUAAGUCAUGAAAAAUUCCACUUUUGAUUUCGACUUACAAAUAACUCGUACGAUUAGUUGAAAACUUCAUAUAAUUUUCAUUUAGACCUGAAUGAAUGUCUCUCAAACUCAACAUGCAACGCGAGUGCAACAUGUAACAACACAGAAGGAUCUUAUACAUGCACGUGUGAUUCUGGAUACAGUGGUGAUGGAUUUUCUUGCGUUGGUAUGCACAGGAUUGAGUUAUUAAUUAUUUUAACCGCCAGAAUAACUAGGAACCUGUUAUUAUAUUGUUAGACCAAAUCCAAAACUGUUGCAGAACUUGAAUCCAACUAUUUGUACUCUAACAGGAGUCAUACUUGAAACUCUACGAUACCGUUGCAGCUCUAUAACCAACUGAGCUACAAUGCGACUCUUGUUAAACUCUAACAAAAAAAAUUAUGUAUGAAUACAAAGAUGGUCCAAAUGUACGCUGUAUGGUUAAAUAGCAACAUUUUGGGAAUCUCGCUCGCUAUAACUCCUGGGCCUUGCUGAAGGAAUUUACAAAUGGAGUUUCAUGCGGAAUUUAUAUACAUUUAUUAGACAUAACCAGGUGAAUUUGCAAAAAAUGCAACUCGAUACCCGCACAUUUUCGUCACCUUAAUAUUUGAUUACAACGCCGAUACAAACUGACUGGGCCGUUGGUUGGUUUCUUUAAACGAGAAUAAUUGCUACGUUUUUUUUAACAGCUUUUGGAAUAGGUCUCACUAAAUCAUGAAAAUUCCACUUUUGAUUUCGACUUACAAAUGCGUCGCACGAUAAAUUGAAAACUUGAUAUAAUUUUCAUUUAGACGUGAACGAAUGUCUCUUAAACUCAACAUGCGAUUCGAACGCAACAUGUAACAACACAGAAGGAUCUUAUACAUGCAAGUGUGAUUCUGGUUAUAGUGGUGAUGGAUUUUCUUGCAUUGGUACGCGCACCACUGAAUCACAAGUUAUUACUAGAAAAUGCGUGCAUGCAGCAACCCCUCGUCUUUCUUAACCGAUGAAGUAUAAAAACCCCACAUAAAGUAUUAAGGCCAUUAUAAACAAACACAAAAGCACAACUGAUGCCGUGAUGCGCUAGCUUUAUAAUGAACGAUAUAAUCAUUCACUGCAAUUUCACGCAUAGCAGCUUGCAUUAAAGUGAAAUAUCGAGUUAAGGAUGGCUUAAAAAUUUCGCAGAUAUGAACAAAACCGACAACACAAAGCAAGUACGGCAUGGCAUUUUACUACUGAAAUGUUUACACUUACCCAAACCGGCACAACAACGAUUAAAUUUUCAAAGAUAUCAACAUCAAAACAUCAAAAAAAUUAAUAUACAAACUUUGUUUCGCGGUUGAACAGCCACUAAUUCGUGAAACGGCAGGCUUAUUAUUCGCUGGGGCGCUGUGCCCUGGCGAGAAAUAGGUUUCGGCUCUGAUUUUUCUACGAUUGAUAGCCACAAAAUAGAAUACUAAUGAGCUACCUACUUUUACCAAAUGAUCCAUUAGGCUCCUGCCAAUUUUUACCCAAAUUAUCCAGAAAUAACCCCAAGUAUUGAGAAAAAUUCAAGAAUAUUACUAAAAAAGCCAAAGCUGCUGUUUAUUUUAACCGGUAUGAACAUGUUUACGUUCUUUUAAAAAUGACUUUUUACUGCAUUGAGGAUUCAUCGACAAGGACCAUGAAUUUGGAGAUGUGCUAAUGCCAAAUAAGUCCUGUUAACCGGUCAAAAUGACAUCUUAUAGCCCGACAAAAAUAGAAAUAUAAAAUAAGAGACAGCGAUCGCCGAUGGCGAUGCACAGGAACAAUUGUAUGAAAUAUAAGCUCGAUAUAAGACUGCUAAUUAGGUGCUAUAACUAUGCUUUUGUAAGAACAGAGUAGACCAGACACAGUACUAACUAAAUGCGGUGCUUUACAAAUAAAACUUUCAGGCGAUUCCGCCUACAAGCUGUGCUGCAUGUAAAGGUUAUAUUUUAUCGUAUACGCUACAUUCCUCGUGUCGGCGGACAGUUGUUUUUAGACGGGCAAGGAAUUUUCAGAUAGGCAGAGGAAGCAUUUGUUUCGGAACAAACUCCUCCCCCCAAACCGUCUGCUGUCAGGUAGCGGUGCCAAACUUGACACAUCGGUAGGACACCGCAAUUUUGCAACAGGGGACAUAUCACAAUUAACUCUUCAAUUGGCCAUAUGAUUGUAGUACCAAUGUACCAUCACUGUGAUCUGACAAGUGUAUCACUAUAGGCAGCCCAUUAGCUUUUGACCGCUUGCGCUAAGAGACGGACUAGCCCCGGCGAGUCAACUCUCUUUCGAGCGUCUUGUUACAUUAAAGCGGCAUUGUCAACCGCUGCGCAUCCGUUCUGCGCAUAACAAACCGAUUUUCGGAAUAUGUCGGAAAAGGUCGGAAUCACAACAAUCCGACUAUAAAAAUGUGGAUAUAUUCACAUUUUCAGCGGCGGAAAAGACCAAAUAAUUGCUUCAUUUCAUACAGGUUAACAAUUAUAGUUGUAAAUGUUCAUGUGCCACCAAAAGAAACGAGAACAGUAACCGAGGUUACCCGCGUAAGGCAAAUAUUAAAGAACGUUGUGUAUUCUGCCAGCUGCAAGUGUGGAGAACUAGCAAAACUCCUCAGUCUCCUUGCAAGAAUAGGGUAUGUGUGCGCAUCAAAUGUACUUGAAGUAUAUAGUCUCGACAAAGUCUAAUGUAACAGUGUAAUAUAGCUACUUCAGGUGUAGUAGUGUAUUCAUUAUUAUUUCGUAUUUAUUUUAAAUGCACACCGUCAAUUCCAAGUAUAAAUAACAAAGGAACUCAGUUCCCAUAAUUUAUACCCUAAUACCGAUAGAUUACUACAGUGACGCUGUUCAAGACUGUAAAAUCAUCAGUUGAGUUAUGAGCAAAAUAAAAUAAAUUUUAAACACGUUAAUCACCCACGACACAAAUUUAACAACAUGCAAUAUAACACAUUAUAUGAUUGAAGCGUUCCUCAUAUUAUUUUUUCUCUUUCCGAACCGUCCAUGAAAAUGUACAUCUGUAAUAUUAAAUCGUAGUAAAAGCAUUCAUGUUUUUAGAAGAAAAUUUAGUAAAAAAAUACUUCAUUUGAUUAAUUCUCAGUUUUUCCAGUUUGUCACAUAAAUUGUAGCGACCGGUCUAGUCCAGUCAAUCUGUGACCAGAGGUCAAAGAAAUUGCAAUAGAAUUUUUUUCGGUGGUAAAAUGCGAGGGAAGGUGUCCUAAUUAACAUACUAAAAAUAAAAAAAAUUUCUCCGGUGGAACAUGGUGAAAAUCGAGUCUCUCUUACUUCUACCUAUAGAAAACCAUUGUGGACAGAAUGUUCAAAUUUUGAAAUCAGUUUAGGCAAAUGUAACAUACAUUAUUGGAAAGCUUAAACAAAACUAUAUAAAGGUCAAUUAAACCGUUAUAUUCAAUUUACUAGCCAGUUGCCGUUAUUCUAGCUCAAAGUUGGAAAAAUAGUGCAAAAUUUGCCCAAAAUACAAAUUUAUGGCAUUUUACACGGGAUGAAAAAUUAGAUUUGCAUAUGUGCAAAUGUAUGUGCAAAUUUGAAGCGAAUUCUAAAAUCGCACAUCUUCGACGACAUUUGCACAUAUGCAAAGUUAUAAAUUGGCUUUGACUUUGCACCAUGUGCCGGAUUGCAAAUACCGCAAUGCCACGCAUUGCAAAUUUGAUGCAAAGAUGGUGUCGUUUUUUAUAUUUGCAGGACAGACAAUGUGAUUUUGCGGCGAAUUUUGGGCGAAUAUAGAGAUCGCAAAAUAAUCGCAUAUGAUGCGAUUAUUGGUUCAUUUUAUGAUUUGCAGUAAAUGCGAAUUUGCUGCCAAAUUCUUGCCAAUUUGACAUAUGCAUAUUCGUUUCCCAUAUAUAUGCAUUACUAUAACAUUUACGUAUUAAAAUUUUAGUAUUAUCGAUAUUUUCAAAUUUAGUGAAAUUAAUUACGUACUUUUCAAUAGGCCAGUAAUUUUAAAUACUGAGUACAUAUAUCUCGAUAUCGUCACACCUAUAAUUCACAGGUGUUAUUGAAAAUUGGCUUUUAUUUUGCUACGAUAUGUUCAUGCAUGUGUUGAUUGUUUCCUGGACCACUUAACUAAGUACAAAUUAAUAUAAGAUACAGUACAAUGGGGACUCAAAAAAUUUAAGAUUCUAGGUUUCGACUAAUCUUUAUGGGCAUCCCCGAAAUGUAGAAUUAUAUAAAAGUAAAAAAUUUUGGAGCCUCCACUGUACUUUAUUUGAUCAAAAAUAGACAAAGAGAAGUUGUUUUAUAUUAUUCAUAUUUAUUCAAUAUAGUACGUUACAAUGGUAUCUUCAUUCAAUCCGUAAGUCAAUAUUGUCAUCAAUGCAUUUUAAUAAAUAUUAAACUAUCAUUGCAAUCGUGGCCUUUGUGACCCUAACUUAGGUAUAUUGGCCACAUUAAAGUACAAAUAUCAUGCAUGCAUCAAUAUGUAACGGACAAAGUUCAACAAUAUGUAACAUGAAUAAAAGUUUUCUUUAGCCAUACCUAAAAGAGAAGGAAAGAGUAAAAUUUUAAAAUAAAUUAAAUGUUAGAUUAAUUUAAAUCUGAAGCUAGUUAAAAUGGCAGGUCAAACGUGCGUCAAUGCAGAGACAAUCGCUAGUAGUACCGGGUCAGCUGUUUUUGGAUGUCGCACGACAGUCAACACUAAUCAACUCGCUACUCCCUCGAUCACUUGCUGUAGUCGAAUAGAUGUUGGGGCAAUAGCGAAGCCCAUUAUCCACUUUGCGAAUUCGCUUUUACUAAGGAAUGUGAAGUCCGUUUUCAUGCGCCGAAAUUAAUUAACCUGCAACUCAUUCAUAAGAAUUAUGAAGCAAUCGCAGGCCAAGUGAGUACUUAUGACACAAUUAUCGGGUAGGUCCAUUUAGUACGAAUUACUGUGACGAAAAAGAAACUUAAUAACACAAUUGAGGUAGGUGAUCUUCAAAUCAAUCCAUUCGAGUCAACCACGAACUUGCUCAAGCUACAUCAGUUCUCUUCAAGGGCUGAUCAUAAACUCGAAAAAAUAAGUACGCAGUGCGUACAUGUUGCAUCCCUCAAAAACCUUAUAGGUCGUGGGCCAUUGUGCGAAAAAGUGCUUAGAAAAGCAAUUUUGUGGCAAUCCCCUGGAAAAUAGUUUUUCUGUGGUUCAAUGCAUAGUACCAUAUAUGCUCAAUUACCACAAAACGUUCCCAAGCAAAGAACCUCCCAAACCCCAAGAAAAUGGGCGAUCAUGUUAUCCUCUAUUAAAUUGUAUUACAGCAAGAAAAUGUGAAAUUCUAUAUUGAAUUACAUGAAAAAUUGCUAGCAUCAUCAGAAAGCUUACAAAAACCUACAUAUAAGACAUUUUAACGGUUUUUCUAUAUCUCAAAUUGUAUUCGAGUUAUACGCUAUCAAACACGCGUUUUUGAUCUAGUAUACCCAUUUCUUAUUGCAACAUUUUGGUCCAGUUUUCAUAUUUAAAACAGCAGUAACUCAAAGACUAUUUGAAGGAUCAAAAACUGUUUAAAAGUCUUAUAUGCAGUUUUUUGUGAGAUUUCUGUUGACGCAAGUCAUUUUUGUUGUAAUUGAAUACAAAAUUUCACAUUUUCUUGCUGUCGGUGUUUGGCAACUUUUUUGCUUGGGAACUUUUUGUGGUAGAGCAUCUAUAUUACUAUGCAUUGAACUACAGAAAAUCUAUUAACCAGGGGGUUGCCACGAAGCGACAUAAUUUUGGCCAUCGGCCCACGACCUAUUAAGGCCGACUUCCAUUUAGUGCAAAAUAUCGCGAGAUCAAGUUUUUGCAAUCACUUUCUUCUGAAAUGCGUUGAGUCAACCUGAUCCGUGGCGUUUGAUUUCUUGUACUUCAAAAGAAAGUGAUCGCACAAUGUCGAUCACACGACAUUUUGCACUGCAUGAAAAUCCACCUUUAUUGUGCGCAUGCGCUUAUAAAUUUUGGUACAACUGGCAUGAAACUUAAAAUAUUGAUUCAAUAAGUUUACAGUCAAACCGGAUGUUCUCUUGCGAGCAACAUUGCAAUAUUGUCCUACAAUAUUGCAAUUUUGAUAGGCAGAUUGCUCUGAGCAAUUUGCAACCGACGCGAACAAAUUGCAAGUUGAAAUUCACAAAUAAUUUGAAAACAAAGGCUUUGAUUGGACUAUAAGAAAGAGGGAAGCACCACUCCAUUCGCUCAGACUAUUUGAUUGGCUUCGCUUUUUCUUAUAGUCCAUUUAGAGGCUUUGUUUACAAAUCUUUUGUGAAUUUCAACUUGCAAUUUGUUCGCGUCGGUUGCAAAUUGCUCAGAGGACAAUAUUGCAAUGUUGUGGGACAAUAUUGCAAUGUUGCUCGCAAGAGAACAUCCGGUUUGACUGUAAUAUCAAUAUAUUUAUUGAAAAAUAGCUAUUAUGUCAAAAUCAGAAAACUUAGAUUCUCACACGAAUUAGACUUGCUCCAAGUCUCUCUUUCAUUGUCAUAUCGAUCCACUAUAGUGUAUAUUACAUGACGUAGCACGGAGAGGCGGAGCGAGAAAGAGAGACUUCUCAACUUCGGAAAUCUCGGUUCAAAACUGAACCGAAAAUGCAAAACUUGUUUAAUUGUUUUCCUUCAAUUUCUUUCUGUAUUAUUUACUGUAAUGGAACUCGUGUUAUUUAAACUAUGCUAGAUCAAUACAUAUAAACAAUGACAGAAAACAAUUAAAGCAAGUCUUGCAUUUUCGGUUCAGUUUUGAACCGAGAAUUUCCGAAGUUGACAAGCCUCUCUUUCUCGCUCCGCCUCUCCGUGCUACGUCAUGUAAUGUACACUAUAGUGGAUCGAUACUUAUGACAAUGAAAGAGAGACUUGCAGCAAGUCUACACACGAAUAGGCAAUGUUUUUAUGAGACUGUUCAUCGGUAGUUGCAAAAGACGGUAGUAACAAUUAGGCGCUAAUGAAGGUCAAUGAAGUAUUAGUAAACAAUGUUUAAUAUUUCCUACAAAUUUAAACAAAUUUAGCUUUAUUGUGGCCUUUUGAAGGUAUAAAAACCCGUGGAAACGGUGAAUUACCAUAGUAGAUUGAAAAUAACUAUUAAACUAUAUGAUCACGACCAUGAUUGAAAUUAGCGAAGUAGAAUACAAUUUCGUUGUAGUUUCAAUAGUGUUAAAUGUCAAUAAGAAUUUUGUUUCACAAUAUAUUCCAUGUUAAUUACAAACAUGUAUUUUACUCUGUAGUUUCGUACACAAUAUAAUCAGUGCGAACACAAUUCAAUUUGAGCAUAUAAGAAAUGAGCAUUUUCAUAGCGCCGUGGCCUUUCACGAUAUAUACGCCUGGGAUAAAUACUCAAUGCGAGCACAACGGCUGCAAAAUAACAACAAAUAACAAAGCAAUAUAAGGUGAAUUAAAAACAGCAAAGCUUUACCUACUUCGAUCUAUUUUUCUAAGGCGCUAAAUUACGUAAAUUUCCAGUGAAAAUCAGUAUUUCUUUCCUCGACAAAAGCCGUGAACGAAAGCGUGCAUAUUGAUUCACAUUGUCGGACUAUGGUUGGAAAACUGGGUAUUUGUCGUAUUUUGCGAUCUAUCACGUGAUUUACCACCGCCCGUACGUACACCGCGACACGAAAUUUAGAGCUAUAUGAAAGUUGCAUGCCCAUAUAUGGGCAUGCAACAAAAAGGAAGCAAUUUGGGCCAAUCAGUUUGGGGCUUAACUGGAAAUCAAUGAAGAAAUUUGAUGCUUAAGUUCAUCCUGGACUUCUCGACCAUGUAAUUGAAGUGAUUCAUAGCGCGUACGAAGUGGCGACUACUGGAUGCAACACGGAGUGGCAAAACAUGGAAAAAUCGAUCUGAAAUAUAACCGAAACGCUUCAAACCAGUUGACUGACAUUAUACGUCGAUUUAAUUACUAUAUUUUUAGCGAGUUUAUAUGUAAAAUUUGAUGUCCAACUUGCCAUAAGUUUCACCACUUACCACUGUUACAUAUGAAUAAAUAUUAGAAACUUAUGAAAGUAGCAGUUGAUAUAAGUCAAUAAAUUCUCACUCAAACCAUGUUUUAUUCAGGGCUCCACUGAAAAUCACUUUUGUGAGUGGAACCCCCGACUUAAUAUUGUAAUUAUUAUUAUUAUAGCUGAGACAUGCCUAGGUAGGCAUAUGAUGAGGAUUCAGUAGAUGCCAAUUAAGCUAUACUAUCCUAUACAAGGAUCCCUGUUAAAUUAAUACAAUAAACUAUAAUUUGAUAUAAAUUAAGACUGCGUCAAAUGUUAGCCUUUGUAUAAAACUAAAUGUAUUUAUAUCAUCGUUUUAAAUUAAAGGCAGAAUACACCACCCCACGUGACCGAGAAUACCGCUGUUGAUUGAUUGAUAUGACAAUCGGCUCAGGUUUCACGCUAUAAUAUAAACAAAUAUGGCAGUAAACGAAGUUUCGAAGAGUUCGGCUCUGUUUUACAAAGCGAAGGAAGUGAGUUCAUCGCCUGAAGACGAAAUAUCUGAUUUAGACGAGUCUAGCGAGGUAAGAUUGUAUUUUUGGAUAUUAAUGUAGUUAAAGGAAGUAUCCAAAUUGCUGUAAAAUUCGGCUCAAUUAGUAAUUAAGUAACACGUCUGUUUGCACUUUGCACAGAUGAUCGCUGAUAAACUGUGGCUGCAAAUCGCAAUGUUUGCGCAAGUUAAAGACCUCUACGAAUGGAAAGGCGACUGACUGAACUGGCAGUCCUUGUAGAGGAAGCGAUGCGCAGUGUGGGGAGACGUGUAUGUCUUCUGUUACGAGGAAUAAUAAAAGGUAUGUACUUGAGUUGAAAUAUUAAUCUGAUUUUGACACAAGCAGCCUAUAGCCAGUGUUUAUAUAUCAUAUAUGAUAUUAACAGCUUUUGUUUCUAUAUAUUACCAGCCACAAAUGCAUGACCCUGAGCGAGAGUCGAGAUCAAAGCGAGGUGUCUGUGCAGGUAUUGCUCUAUUGUAUUUUUUUUUCAUUUUGAUAUGAGCAAGCUGUAUAAAUAUACACUACAGCGAUAUCAUGUUUGAUCAUAGACAAUCCAGAAGGUUUGAUGAAUGCACGCGUUGUAAUAUGUACUGUGCUUUAAUCUUUAUGAAUAGCAAUUUUGUAUUAGGGGUACUCACUAUAAAUAGUCAGGGGCGAUUAUUUAUAGGUCAUUUCAAAUUCACAGAAUUAUCGCUAGUUUACAAAUUCAAACGGGUUGUACCAUACCAUCCAAGGUCCAGAAAUAUUGGUACAAAUUUGUUGUGAACUGACUUUAUAUGAUAUAUCCUAACUAUUAGUUGUCCCUUUGUUAUUUAGGAGAUAAUUGAUGGUUUGGAUAGCGAGAUCAUUGUCAAAGUAGCAAAGGAUGGUUUUCAAUUGAUGGAGCAGCUACGACAUGACCAGUGUCAUAAAGGGAAGAAGUUGAGCAGUUGAAUGCACCCUUCUGUGUAUGUGGAUAUUGCAGAGAGAUGCCAACAGACAGAGGGUGUGCUACUGUGCUGCAAAGAGACAUGAUUGUGUCAGUGUAAAACACUUGCAUUCCAAAACAUUUGCUUGGACCAAUGCAUUUUUAAUACCAUGGACUGGUGGGGCAUUUGCCCCACUGGGCCCCUUCCUCUGCCCCACCACUGAAGAAAAAAAAUGGCCUAUUGCCCCAAAGCCAGGGCCCUAAGUCCUGUAUUGAGUAAAUGAGUUUAACAUUGAAAAGAAGUUUAAAUUAAAAAACAAAAUUUGUUGGUGAUUAUACUUAAAUUUAUGUUGUGUUUGAAUGUUUAGCAUGCAAUUUAUUUCAAAUUUCACCAUUAAAACUUUGUUUUGAGAAGCUGAGAUUUUUUUAAAUAUGUUUUCAGAAUGCAGGAAAUGCUAUUUCAUAGACCCAAAUUUUAAAUAUUUCCUGGGGGGCAUGCCCCCAGACCUGCGGUACUCGGCUCACACCUUCGGCCAUUACAUACUAUCCUGGGGGGAGGGCAAGGAGAAAAUGGGCCCUUUGGCAGUUUUGCCCCACCACUGAAGAAUCCUUAAAAAAUGCACUGGCUUGGACUCAGAUAAUGCGACCACUGUUAUACAUGACUAUGUGUUUACACCAACAUAUGACAAUAGAGUGAUGAGGCAUGUAGCAUACUGACAGUAUGUCAUGUGGAUACAUGGCCAUUUAGGAAAAGGUAAUCGCAAAGUCAUUCACUCAUUCUGUGUUUAAUGGAUAUUAUACCGGCUAUAAAGAUAAAGAUAUAUAGCUGUGACUAAUUGACCUAGAGGGUAAAGGGGGUGGACAGUCAGGGGGUUUAGUAGAACACUAUGGUUAUUUUGUUUGUAUUAUCUGUUAUUGAAACCGAACAAAUAAAAUAUGUACAUUCACAAACAGAAAUUGUAUAUAUGCUCUCUUUAUCCAUGCUGUAAGAAAAUUGAGAAAUUUAAAUCAAGGCCAAAAACACACUCUGUAAAUCUUUGCUUGUGGAGAUAUAAUUUUGGCUGAAGUUUUAUAAAAGAAUCCGAUGCAAAUAACCCUUACCCCCACCUGGCCCUUACACCACCCCAAGUGACAUCAUUUUGGGAUCCUUAUAUGAAACUUCACCCAUAGUUUCUUUGACAGAAAUCCAUAUAAUUAUAUACAGCACAAUGAAUAAUCAUCUGAAAACAUUAAACAUCCUCAAAAAUCAAAAUUAUUUAUUUGUAUGUUUUGACUAUAAGUUGUAGUCAUCUUCAAGAGAGAUCAUUACAGAAAUACAACUUAUUAUUCAAAAUGUACAAAUAAACAAAUUUUAUAAAUGUUUACUGCUUUCAGAGUAAGUAUUAAUAAUUAUGUACUGUUUUUAUCAAAGUACUAUUAAGUAGUUCUGACAAUUUCUACUGUAAUCUAAAAUCCUGUGGUAUGUUCUCGCGUACUGUAAAAAAAAUUCAGUCAAAUUCAAGUUGUAGACGUCUUUGACCUUGUGUUAUUGUGUGUAAGGAAAUUGUCUUCCAAAUCGUGCUCCGCGCCUUUUUGUAGCCUUCCUUGUGUUGGCGUUUCCUUCCAGACCCACCUAGCGCUUUCUGCCGAUCGUAAAGAUGAACCAGGUUCAUCCGGACGACGAAAAUUAUCGUCACCGUCCCUUUCCAAUUUGCUCAGAAAGCAUACAAACGUCGACAAGGAGCACAAUUCUCAGCCGCAAUGUCACUUGUGUUGACUCGUUGUUUGAACAAGAUAUCAGAUUACACUUCAUGCAAAUCAAGUGUCAAUUGCAAUAAUUUGGAACAUCCCGUAAAAAUUACAUUCAAUCGCGUUGAUUUCACCCCAAUAUUGAAUAAAUCCAUCAUUAUAUAAUCCGUAUUAAAAUUUACACCACUGCCAUAUAAGACGACGCCAUUUUGUUUUCUAAAACUUGAUUUACAACACAAGUUUUUUCAAGUUUGUGAACCCAAUGCGCAUGCGCGAGUUUGGGUGCACUCUGCCUUUAAUGCAAAUAUUGUCGCGGCGAAAUUCAAAUAUAUUCAUAGGCAGCCCAAAACUGUGUCUAAAAUGCACCAAAUGUCAAUUUAUAUUAAGCUCGCCACAUUCCUCUGUGAUUUUUCGUACACCGCAAGCACUCAAUGAAAAGCAUUGUUCAUAUAUAUAUAUAUAUAUAUAUAUAUAUAUAUAUAUAUAUAUAUAUAUAUAUAUAUAUAUAUAUAUAUAUAUAUAUAUAUAUAUAUAUAUAUAUAUAUAUAUAUAUAUAUAUAUAUAUAUAUUAAUUAACGUUGUUACUCAGAGUUUCAUGCCUGAGUUUACAAACAAUCUUCGGACAACUAAAGUUCUGUUAACUAAAUUUGACGGUUUGGUUUUGUUUGCUUGCGCGUGCAUGCUUGCGCGUUCUUCCGUCGUGUAUGAUUGCGCACGUUGUUGGAUUGCACGCGAAUGUAUUUUCCCGCCAGAAAUUGUUUUUGAUGGGCGCAAUUCGAGAAUAUUUCACUUCUUUUGUUGAGCAGCGAAUUUUGUUUAAAUUUCAUAAUGAAAAGUUUUUCGUCGCUACACAAAUUGCACUGUUUACGUCUCGAUCUGUAUGCACUUGAAUAUUUUAAGAUGGUCCAUUUAAUUUUGUAUGGGCGAUUGCUUUUCUUCAAACUCCAUAUGUACUUCGACAAUUCAGUGUCGUUAGCAUACGUUGCGAUGUUGAACGAUUUCUGGUGGUUCCUAAAACGCUCCUUGCUUUGUUGUAGCCGUAAUUCCAAUAUAUUGCCUUGUUUCUCCGUUGUCCUCUGCUGCGAUCUUUGCAUGGUAGACAAUGCCUUUGGUUAAGCAUUUCUUGUUGACAGGACACGUAUUCUUAUCUCUGCCGUUGCAUGUUUUGUUGGUGGGUGGCACAGGUCUUGGUGUUGGUUUUAAUGGUGGUGUUGGCGUUAACGUUGGUGAUGGGGGAGGUGGUGAUGGGGGAUGUGGCGAUGGGGGAGGUGGUGGGGGUGAUGGCGCUUUGAAAGGAUCUUAUUGUUAGGGCUGAAUAUCACGGAUUUCACGUUUUUCAUGCAACUAUAGUUCACUUUGAUGCAAUCUCGAAACCAGAGCCCGCAAUCCUCUGUGGAGGCUUACUGAAGCUCUGGGAAACACCGGCGAAUUUUGCACGAAAAUCAGUAAAUUUGGAUCCAGUACUCCGCUCGACAUUUAUAAAUAGACAUUACUGCCGUCAAACAUGAAUUAUGCCGUUGUUUAAGCUUAUUACGACUUUAAUUCUUCAAAGAACACUUGCCAUGGUUUUGAAUUGUUGUAAGAUACUGGCAGUGAUUUAUUUUAACUUGUUUAAUUACGGUAAAUCAUGGAUUGUUGUGUUAUUUUAAAUAUUAUAGGCAACGGCUUAUCAUGACCUUAUAUGGUAAUACUGCACUGAUAUUCUACAUUUUGAUAAUGGCAUAUCAAUAUCUGAAUAGUCUAUUGAUUUCAUGUGAGAAGCUAAGAAAGAUUAAUAAGUUUAUUAAAAUUAUGCUGUGUGUUUCAUUGAUAUGUUUAAACAUAAUACACAAAGAGAAAUAAACUUUAUAUUAAACGAUGUUUGAAAUCCGAACAACUAAAUACGGCUCAAAGUUUGAAUAAUAAUUAGCACUUGAAAAACUUUGAGGGCCGCCUGGGCCUGGGGACGAGGAUGUUGAAAAACAACCAAUCAGAGCCCGACUUUCACCGGUGUUUCCCAGAGCUUCAGCAAGCCUCCAGAGCAUGUUUAAUGAUGGAAAUAUGUUGCUCGGUUAUAGGAAUGAAAUUCAUCGCCCAUUUGAUGGCAUUAUCCAGAAGUUCUUCGGUGAUUGACGGCUAGAAUUCGGCGUCCUCUCAAAAAGAAACGCUUAACCAAAGGCAUUCUCUACCAUGAAAGAUCGCAGCAGAGGACAACGGAGAAACAAGGCAUUAUAUUGGAAUUACUGCUACAACCUUCAAGGAGCGUUUUAGGAACCACCAGGAAUCGUUCAACAUCGCUACGUAUGCUAACGACAUUGAAUUGUCGAAGUACAUACACAGCAAAAAAUCAUUUUCUUAUUAAGAAAAAAAUUUCUUAAUUUAAGAAAAAAAUUCUUAAAAUAAGAAAAUAAUUUUCUUGAUAAGAAAAAAUUUUCUUAAAAUAAGAAUUUUUUGUAUCCCAAGAUAUUUUUUUCUUGAAAUAAGAAAAAAAUUCUUAACAGCUUAAUUUAGACUACAUCUAUUUUUUUUAAAUAAGAAAAUUUUUCUUAUGAUUUCUUAGUUAGCGUGUGAAAGCAUUUUCUUAAUAAAAUACGAUUUUCCUAUUUUAAGAAUAUGUUCGUAAAACAAGAAAUGAAAUUCGUAAAAUAAGAAAUUAUAGAAUAGUGAGACAUUAUUUCUUAAAUUUUCGAAGCAAGGAAAUGUAAAGUUUUAGUGUCAUAGAACAACUUAUCUUUAGAACAACGUAUAUCUCAUUGCGUCCGUGACUAGCAUAGUCGUUAACUUGUUAAUUUGUAGUUUUUAUUUCGAAUUGAAGUGAUUAUAUGACCGGCAGCCGGUUACGGUUUAUCAAAUACUUAAUGGCCGACAGCAGCCCGGUACAGUGACUAUAGUUAAAGUUGAAUUUUUAUAAGAUAAACCGAUCCCCAAACCCUCCUCUAACCUUAACCCCUAACCUUUUGAGAGUUUAUAGACCGCUGCCGGUAAUAUAGUCACUUUGUUUUUAUUUAGUCUCCAAAAUUGAGCUCUUUUCAGUGCUAUUGAGUAUUGAAUCGUUGAAGAGAAUUUUUAUCCUCCGGAAUUUUUAUCGAGCAGGAAUAGUUCGCGUAUUGACUAAACGCCUGGCACUUAGUUUACCUUUUAGAACGCGGAGCAUCGCGGGAUAGCGUCGUUUUAAAUUUUUGUGAAAAAUUUUAUAAGUAUCAAUAUUAAUUAAAGAGCGCUUUGCAGGCAAUUUAAAUGGCAAAUAACGAUGGAAAAUUCAUCAGAAACAGUCCUUAAAAUGUUAUUCAGAUGUCACAGGUAAGAAUAAUUGUAUAUUUGACUUGUUAUUUAAACACAUUCAUUGCGAAAUAAUGUAGUGAAUAUGAUUGUCAUUGUUUACUUGAGCGUUGUGUCUGAAAAUAUUCCAUUGAAUGUUUGAAUUUGCCGCGUUCGUUUUGCAUAUAAAACAUGCAAAUGUUGCUUUCAGGCAACGGACGAAAGAUUAAAAUAUAAAUUCAAAUCUAUUCUUGUGAAUUCCAUACUAAUUUACGCACUAAUAUUAACAAUUUGACAAGAUUAAAUUGCCUUUGACAUUGGCACUUUGCUAGACCUUUGUCAAGACUCAAGGGUAUAUAGUGAUAUGAAAUAAGAUAUUAAACAUGCGGAUGUUUUUAAAGAUCUGUUAGCAUUUUAAUACUUGAAUAAGGAUUGGAAUUACAGAAGAAUGACAGCAUUUAUUAAUGUGAUAUUUUCAGUGUAUAGAUAGCUGAAUAACUGAAUUGUGUCCUACUUUAUUGUUUUACUCUGUCUAAUGCCAGAGGAUGUUACUACUUGCCUUGCCGGAUAACUCAGCUACAGUAGAGAAUGUAUAGUGUUCCCGACUUACUGUUUACAACUUUACGUGGGAAAAUAAUAUACUUCACCCGGAAAGACUCUGCAACUCUAGAUAGAAUGUAUAUGCCUUGUAUUUGAAAUAAUUGCUCAAAAAUACAUACAAAUCAUUAGGUGUAUAAGCUUUCCUGAAUUUCUAGCGGCUUAAUUAUUCCUGCAUAUUUUGUAACCAUGUUUUUUAAACCUAUCGAAUGACCCAAAUUGUGUUUGUAUUUUGACAUUGUGCGGCAAUCAUGGGGCAACUUCAUUUCAUAUACCGGUAAAUAGACUGCUUGUUUGUCCUGCCUGAGUGAGUAACUCGCCUAGUGAUGCACCGAUAUCCAUAUUGGUGUAUCGGCUUAUCGGUACUAAAAUAGAAAUAUCGGGAUCUGUAAUUUGAUGACGUCAUCCUUGAAUUUUGUGAAAUGACAUGGAAUAUCGGUAUCGGCAAAAUAUUGGUCCUUUAUUUUUCAUUUUUAACAAUCAGAAGUUACCUGUGUAUAGAACGAGUUUGCAAACUGGUGUUGUAAAAUAAGAAUUAACAAAAUUAUCCUUCCAACAACACCUUGAUCUUACUCUUUCCUAAGCCUAACUAGUCUGCUUUUGUAAACUGGCCCUGCCAGGGCAGACGAAUCAGUCUAGCUGGACCAUGUAAUUUAUAUGGCAAGCAGGCCUGUGACCGCCUGUCCCCAUUUAGUGAGACAGCCCGGUGAGCAGCCUGAUAAUUUUUUAAAGAUUGUGUUUAUACGGUAUGAGAAAAUGUCAUCCUGCUCGCCGGGACAAUUUUGUUAUGUUGACAGUUUUGACAGUUGUUAAAAAUAGGUUGCAGCUCAGCAUCUUUGAACAUUCAUCCAAGCCCAGCCUGCUUGUGAGUGUUUAUGUGGAGAAAUUUUCAUCUCAAUAAGCAAGAUUGUGGCAACAGAGCCAGCCUGUGUGCAUGUGGAUCCAUAUAAACACAUGAUAAUUUUUUUCUAGAUAAAAAUACCUAAUGCAGUUAGAUCUUGCUUACCAGGCUGUCUCGCUAAGCGGUCCAGCCCAGCUUCCGUAAUUUGAAGUACCCUGUACAACAGCCGAAAGUAAACUAUACUGUCAGUAACUGUGUGAUAUGGUAUUGGACAAUUAUUACAUUUAACAAUUAUUUGCUAAAGGCGAAUAUUGUUAAUCACCAAGCAUGAGGCAAAUAAUUGUUUUAGUAUUUUUACACAAGUUUUUUGUGUUAUUUGCUACUGAACUUAUUUUAAUUUCGCUUAUUUCUUUAUCAGUAUAAAUUUCCACAAAACGACUAUAUGGAGUUUGAAGAAAAGCAAUUCUCCUUACAAAAUUAAAUGGACCAUCUUAAACAUCCAAGUGCAUACAGAUCGGGACGUAAUCAGUGCAUGCAAUUUGUGCAGCGACGAAAACCUUUUCAUUAUGAAAUUUAAAAAGAACUCGCUGCUCAACAAAAGAAGUGAAAUAUUCUCGAAUUGCGUCCAUCAAACACAAUUUCUGGCGGGAAAAUACAUCGCGUGCAAUCGAACAACGUGCGCAAUCAUACACGACGGAAGAACGCGCAAGCAUGCACGCACGCACAAGCAAACCAAACCAAACCACAGAGGAAGUAUAUACAGAGAGUUCACUCAAGCCAAAACAAGUCACACGCACGAUCGGCCAUACUACGCAUGCGUAACUUCCCAGCCAGUACCGUGAAUUUUUUUUAUAAGGAAAUAGAUGGGGAAAUCCGAAUUUUUGUCAUAAGUUGUUCAGAAUUGACAUUCCAGUAAAUUUCGUAUCAUAUAAUGUUCAGGUAAGAGCAUAAUUCACUUUUUUCAACGAGAAAAAAACUAGUAAAAAAGAAGUCUCGACCAAAAUGUCUCAGUCUUUGAGAGUUCGAUACGUGUGUUGUCUGAUUUAAAUUGUGUAUUUUGAUUGUCAGGAUACUAACCCAUUAAGUACAAACUCAACUAGUACUUGCCAAGCAGAGAGUCUUGCCACUGAAAUAUAUAGGAUAUAGGAUAUCACAAUCUGUGGGCAGACCGCUCCUUCAACUUUCAAAAUCAAAUAAAAGUUUUUCAAAAGCUCAACCACACUUCUUAUGUGAAUAGAAAAGAUCACUUACUGUUAUUGUUGAAGAAUUUUGUCCAGAUAUGAAGCUCGAAAGCGUCUUUUCCUUAAAAAUGCCACUUUUUGCAUUUCGAACUACGUUUUCCCUAUAGUUUCGACUGAAAACGCAGCGACGGUACUGGCUGCGGCAUAUUAUUUUUUUUUUUGGAAUAUUUAAUUUGCUUUUGAUGGCGUGUAAAUGGCGUCAGCUUCGCAAAUUCGUGUGACGUCCUAAACACUGCAUUUUCCACCGAGUGAACUCUCUUUAUAUAUUUACUCUUUGACGAAACGGUCAAAUUUAGUUAACAGACAGAACUUUAGUUGUCCGAAAAUUGUCUGUAAACUCAGGCAUGAAACUCUGAGUAACAACGUUUAAUAUAUAUAUAUAUAUAUACAUAUAUAUAUAUAUAUAUAUAUAUAUAUAUAUAUAUAUAUAUAUAUAUAUAUAUAUAUAUAUAUAUAUAUAUAUAUAUAUAUAUAUAUAUAUAUAUAUAUAUAUACAUAUAUAUAUAUAUAUAUAUAUAUAUUAUACCUAAGGUUAGCAACUAUAUCUCAACUGACGAAUAUACGACUUCUGCAAAACGCAAAAUACUUCGCACACGUAAAUAAAACAUGAUAAAAAAUUGUAACACAUAAAUUAAACUCUGGUAAUUUUUCUAUAUACCCGCACAUAAAUUUUGUUUUCAUGACUGCAAGAAAACUAAAAAACAACACUUUCCAGAACAAAGUGAGAUAUUCUAUUUACUUAAAAAAAGUGGACAAAUACAUCUCAUGCGAGAAAAAUGUCCACAAAUGUAAAAUCUCAUAUGUAAAAGUAAUGAGGGAUUUUGGCACAUGAGGAAAAGUUUUUUCGUCGAUCCCUCUGCCCACACCCCCCAGAAAUUUUGACCAGUUAAAUAAAUACAAUAUUUUAACCAGUUAAUUAAAAGGAACCAAAUUUAAUUGUGACUAGCUGAUUAAACAAUUCGUCAAAAUGGCCAAUUGCGCGCCAAUGGUUGCAACCUAAAAAGUUUGUUUAACCAAUCUGUUUUUACUGUGCAGUAACUGAAUUAUGUAUGGUCCUUUAUUGCAGUGGUGAAGCCAGCCCGACACUUUUGUCAUGCUACAUAAAUAUUUGCGUGAAAACAAUACAUUUCUAAAGAAAUUAAUAUAUGAUAAUUAUUUAAAAAUUGCACUAUAGCAUGACCAAAUUGUCGGGCUAACUUCGCCACUGCUUUACAGUUAUAUAGAAACUAUAGUGUAUUUUUAAAGAACCAUAGUUUUCAAAAAACUAUAGUCCAUUAGUUAUGAAAACUAUCGUUUACUGGUACAGAACUAUAGUUUUCAUAGAACUAUAGCGUAUUGGUACCCUGGAGCCAGAGGGUAUUUAUUUUCGUCUGUCUUGAAUAACCCUCUGGUGAAAUUGGAGGCGUUUUUCGGGUUCAUUCCACACAUAACUUUCAAAAUUGGAAGGAAAGAGUUGAUUGGCUGCUGACUAUAGGUUCGAUAGACUACGUGUUCUGAUUGGAUAUUGUAAACAUCAUAGCCUGUUCGCAGGCGUUUCGUGUUUUGAUUGAAUUGAAACAUUUGAAUUUUGAAAUGUCUAUAUUAUUAAAUAAACGAACAAAAGUUGAAAGAAGCAGUUUUAUAGGCUGCAUUAAUAGAUAGAUUGAUAAAUUUCCGGAAUUAAAAGUUUAACGGCACAUCAAUACCGCGCCUUGUCCAAUUUGAUUCACCUUAAAGAUGUAUUUGGGUCUUGCUAUCAUAUCGGUUAUGGGAUGAGUUUAAUAUUCGAAAGUUCUAAAACUGAGAGUAGCACGACGAUUAAUUUGGCAAAAGCCACAAUUUUCUGGAGAAACCAUCUUAAUAGUCAUUUGCAAAUUGAACUCUUUCAUUGACUCUCACCUCCGUGAACUAAGAAAGCGUGGAUUCCGUGUAACUUCACUGUCAAACGAAGAGGACGAGAAAGCAAUACUAGAUGGAGAGUUUACAUUCGUAUUUUGUAAUCCCGAGUCUAUUAUUCGAAAUGCGAAAUGGAGAGAAAUGGGUUCAUUUGAAAUCUACAAGACAAAUUUGCUUGCUUUUGUAACAGACGAAGUUCACGUCGUCCCAAAGUGGUGUGUUUAAUAAAUUUAAAUACAGAUUUGUUUGAAUGUAUGUUGCAGGAUUAAAUUGAAUGUAUAUUGCAAGAUUAAAGUGAAUGAAUAUAAAUAUAUAUUUAUAUUAAAUUGAAUAGAUGUAAUGUUUUAAAUUGAAUGAAAUUCAGGAGAAUGAAUAUUGCUACAAAUGUGCAGGCAUACACUGGACAAUAUACAUGCGAUAUUUUUAAAUAAAACCCUGUCUAGACGGCCUGGCGUCAAAGAUAAUGAUUGGAUAAUAUUUUUAGAAUAUGAUGCAUUAAGCCAUUAUAUACAUUUUUUGCAUUCCUUAUCCGAACCAGAAAUCGCUAACAAAUUCACCAGAGGUUUUUCCUUUUUCUUCGCGCGUUUUCUCGCAUUUCGCGUUCGCCAAACCAAAAAAAACUUUGGGCGAGGGUAGUGUAUUGAUAAUGAACUAUAGUUUUCAUAAAAAUAUAGUGUAUUGGCAAAGAACUAUAAUUUUCAUAAAACUAUAGUGUAUUGGUAAAGAACUACAGUUUUCAUGAAACUAUAGUCCUUCAGUUAUGAAACUAAAAUAUAUACUAGUGGUAAAAACUAUAGUUGUCUAAACUCAUGUAUAGUUUUCAAAAAACUAUAGUUCCCUUGUGCACGUGUUAUAAAACUUUAGUUUAAUGCAGACAAGAUAUAGUUUUUCUCAAAACGUUUACUUUUUCUCAGGUAGAUCAAUGCAUGGGUCAAGUUUCAGCCAAGGUCGAAAUAUGGGUAUACCAAGUUGGGCGCAUUUUUAAAAAGAAAACAAGGUUAAGUUUAACCUGUCAUGGUUUAAUGUUAUAGAUUUUGACCUGGUGAAUUUUUACCGAUUUUUAUUUUAUUAUUCGUUUUUCACAUGAGCAGUUAUAUAGCCUUAAACGUCAAUAAACACAGGUUAAAUGGAAACCCAUUGUGCGGACUCAUAAAAUCGCUUUCCCCAAUUGCCAUUUUGCUUUAAUGUUGUACAUAGCAUGUUGCACUAAACGAAUCUAACUUGCUUUGUUACCUAGAUGGCUAAACAAAGUAAAUCUUUUGCGUUUUAUGUCAAUUUAUUCCGUAACUGUGCGUAUUUAUUUAAAUAUAAUUGAAUAUUCGUGUUAAUGUAGGUAUAGCAAGUUAUGACUAUCAAGUUUGUGAUGUGCUUUAUCUAUUUAGCAUACAAGUGCGAUGAAUACCCAUGAUUUCAUGUUUAUAUUGUACACAAACAUCGUCUUGAUUAUUUCUUAUCAAUUAAAUAUGAAACUACAACUUUAUAAUAUGAAAUACAACAUAUUUGCGCAACUAAUUAUAAUCGACAAUGCGGACUCCCGCUGGUCGUAGAUAAUACGGCUUAAUGGCAAUAGCUUUCUUUCUAUAUUGAUACAAACUAUGACGUUUCGCCCGUUUUGCGGACUAGGUUACAAUACAUAAGCAAAGAUAAUUUUAUGCUAAAUAGAUAAAGCACAUCACAAACUUGAUAGUCAUAACUUGCUAUUAACAAUUAUAUUUAAAGAAAUACGCACAGUUACGGAAUAAAUUGACAUAAAACGCAAAAAAUUUACUUUGUUUAGCCAUCUAGGUAACAAAGCAAGUUAGAUUCGUUUAGUGCAACAUGCUAUGUACAACAUUAAAGCAAAAUGGCAAUUGGGAAAAGCGAUUUUAUGAGUCCGCACAAUGGGUUUCCAUUUAACCCGUGUUUAUUGACGUUUAAGGCUAUAUAACUGCUCAUGUGAAGAACGAAUAAUAAAAUAAAAAUCGGUAAAAAAUUCACCAGGUCAAAAUCUAUAACAUUAAACCAUGACAGGUUAAAUUAACCUUGUUUUCUUUUUAAAAAUGCGCCCAACUUGGUAUACCCAUAUUUCGACCUUGGCUGAAACUUGACCCAUGCAUUGAUCUACCUGAGAAAAAGUAAACGUUUUGAGAAAAACUAUAGCUUGUCUGCAUUAAAUUAAAGUUUUAUAACACAAAGGAACUAUAGUUUUUUGAAAAUUAUACAUGAGUUUAGACAACUAUAGUUUUUACCACUAGUAUAUAUUUUAGUUUCAUAACUAAAGGACUAUAGUUUCAUGAAAACUAUAGUUCUUUACCAAUACACUAUAGUUUUAUGAAACUAGUAUAGUUCUUUACCAAUACACUAUAUUUUUAUGAAAACUAUAGUUCAUUAUCAAUACACUACCCUGACCCAAAGUUUUUUUUAGGUUUGGCGAACGCGAAAUGCGAGAAAACGCGAGAAGAAAAAGGAAAAACCUCUGGUGAAUUUGUUAGCGACUUCUUCUUCGGAUAAGGAAUGCAAAAAAUGUAUAUAAUGGCUUAAUGCAUCAUAUUCUAAAAAUAUUAUCCAAUCAUUAUCUUUGACGCCAUGCCGUCUAGACAGGGUUUUAUUUAAAAAUAUCGCAUGUAUACUGUCCAGUGUAUGCCUGCACAUUUGUAGCAAUAUUCAUUCUCCUGAAUUUCAUUCAAUUUAAAACAUUACAUCUAUUCAAUUUAAUAUAAAUAUAUAUUUAUAUUCAUUCACUUUAAUCUUGCAAUAUACAUUCAAUUUAAUCCUGCAACAUACAUUCAAAAAAAAUCUGUAUUUAAAUUUAUUAAACACACCACUUUGGGACGACGUGAACUUCGUCUGUUACAAAAGCAAGCAAAUUUGUCUUCUAGAUUUCAAAUGAACCCAUUUCUCUCCAUUUCGCAUUUCGAAUAAUAGACUCGGGAUUACAAAAUACGAAUGUAAACUGUCCAUCUAGUAUUGCUUUCUCGUCCUCUUCGUUUGACAGUGAAGUUACACGGAGUCCACGUUUAUGGCGUAUAAAUAAAAACAUGCAUUAUUUCCUUUUAAAUUAGGCUGUAUUAGUGUUUGCUAAAUUACCCUGUCUAAUUUAAGAAAAAAAAAGGUAAAGUAAAUUUACUUUACCUCUUUUUUCUUAAAUUAGACAGGGUAAUUUAGCAAACAUUAAUACAGCCUAAUUUAAAAGGAAAUAAUGCAUGUUUUUAUUUAUACGCCAUAAAUUAAAGAAUCAAAAUUAAUAAACAUUAAACCUUCAAAGCAAACUUGUUCUAUCUUUCAGGAUUUUCCAUAAUAAAUCAAUUCUUCUCAUUUCUUCAAACAGAAAUUGCUACAAAGCUCAUUGUGUGAAACGUAAUUUAGUCGACCAAAUAUAUGCCUUUGAAAAUUGAAAUCUUGCUUUAAUAUCCUCAUUGUGCUUAUCCCACUCCUCCCAAACAGCCAUAUUUUUGAGAUCAGUGAGGAUGACCAACAACGCACAGUAACCCACGCCUGCGAUCAUUGAUGAACUUUAGACUUCGCUAAUACUUUCAUUUCCCCGGGUGUAAAUAGCCGGCGGGAUUAGUACCCUCGCCCUGAGCUGACGCCCGGAACGGCGCUCCACGCCGUUGGCUCGGGAAUAAUGGAUAACUUUACGUUUCUGUAUUACUUGGAUACAAACGAAUGUCUACCAGAUUCACGUUGCCAUGCGAAUGCAACAUGUAAUAACACCGAAGGAUCUUACAUCUGCACAUGUCACUCAGGAUACAGUGGUGUUGGAUUUACAUGCAAUGGUAAGCAACGCACAACUGAAUAGGGAUGACGGUGCCUAUUUGCCAGAGGAAUACAUGCAUCGCGAUAUUUGAAUUACUUUAGACUUCGCUAGUGCGUUCCUUUCCUCGGGUGUAAAUAACCGGGCGGAAUUAGUAUCCUCGCUCCGGGCUUACGCCCAGAACAGCGCUCUGCACCGUUGGCCCUGGGAUAAUUCAUGUAACAGCUAUUAAAAACGAUAUUACACUUACCAUGUCAUCUUUCUUUAUAUUUCACAAUGUUUUGCCUCGUAACAUAGCCAAAAAUUCUGUAAAAUUCUUUUAUUUGUCUUCGCAAAUUUUGGGGAACUUUUCAAACCAAGAUGGCGGCGCAGCAUGUUUUCGCAAAGCCUGGCCGCUAAGCUUUGAGCGCUUUUCGAAAAAAGUAGGCGAUUUUUAAAAAACCUCUUAAUAUUAUUGGCACUACCUAUCCUGAUGCAUAUUUUGUUCAAAAAUACAUUGAUAUCACAAGUGCCAAAGGCCUAUGUGAAAAUAGAAAUAAUAAAAUUGGUUCAAAACGCCCCGAGAGCUAUACAUAUGUUAUGACUGUUAUUGUUGUUAUACGCAUUUUUCUGGCGCGUGGAAAUCCCGAGGAUUCCACGAAUAGACCACGCCAGUACCGCAAACUGGUUCUCUGUGUUUAAGAGCCAAUUAUGCUGAUUGGCUAAUCGUUUGGAAAUCGAAAUCCCGCUCGAGUUCGCAGACGUUACUUUCCAGGCAAAGAACGAGCGUGGGAAAUGACGUCGGGGUACGCAGACUAACCAAAUAUAGACCAGUUGCAAAAAUGUAACUAUUGGCAUUCUGGCAAGAUUCAAACGUGUGACCCCACGGUGCCGGUGCAACGCUAUGACCAACUGACCUACGGAGUCACGGUGGUCAAGCUUUAACACAAAUUCAUGUAUAAAAUAAAAUAUGCCUUAGCGUUUAUUUAUUUUUGACCCUCGUUUUCGUGUUUGCCAGUUUUGGCAUGACAGGCGCACACGAGUGUUAUAUUCCAAUGUUUCUUUCACGGUUUGGUUCCUCGUUGAUCUUAAGCCCAAUAACAAGUAAGUUUUUAACCACUAUUGUGCACGAAUCACGAGUACAUACCUGACACGAAAACGAGGUCAUUGGGUCAAACGUGGAUAAGCGGUAAUGUGUACUGGAUCCGAAUGUGCGCAGUGUGGGUAAAUAGUUUGGAAUUGGAAAUCUCACUCGCUAUGUCUACUUGCUGAAGGGAUUUGCAAAUGAAUUUUCGUGCGGAAUUUUUUACAUUUAUUAGACAUAACCAGGAGCAUUUGCAAAAACUGCAACUCGAUGUCCACACAUUUUCAUCAUACAUACAUUUAUACAUGCAUGAACUUCUGGUGAGAGCUCCAAAACAGUUCCUCUCUGCCUCUGUUGGUUGCGUUUUUUGCAACUGCUCUUGGUUAGGUAUUAGGAACCAUUCAUUAUUUAUGACCGGGGGUGGGCUGGCAAAAAAAGGGGGUGGGUCAUGAAGUAUUUUUGACCGAAAAAGGGGGGCCACCUAAAAAUAUUGGUUCAAUAUUGGUUUGGGGAAACGAAAGCAUUAGCGAAGUCUAAAGUUCAUCAAAAAUCGCGGGCGUGGGUGACCAACGAUGUUGGGGUGUUGGGUGGGUGGUCAUCCUCACUGAUCUCAAAAAUAUGGCGGACUGUCAUGAAUAGCGGACACUGAUUGGUCCAAUUUAAUGUUUGCAUUAUAACGACUGGAUGACGACAGCGAAAUAGCAAACAUUUCUUGAUUUGAUGAUUGAUAAACUUCUUGCAAAAUAUAUUUCAUUUUUGCUCGCAUUUUUGCAAAAUUUUGCAAAUUUCAAGAAAGAAAGGCCGAAAGAAUCGACUAAUAGAAGGGAGCCGACGUUAACGAAGGUACGUUUGUUUUAAAUAUUGAUUAUAUAAUGGCUUUAAAACCCGACGGUCUUUGCGUAUAUGAAACAACUAAACAAGACAGCAUAUAAUUUCAGUGUAUCUUUAAUAUUGAUUCCCUUUUUUAUUAUAUUGAAUUUUUAGAAUAAAAAAGAAAACAAAGUUAUUUGCAAGCGAGAAUUUGAAAUCAUUUUAUUGUAAACUCAAAGCUUAUCGAUAAAGCCAUUUAAUUAUAAAAGGCAGUUUAGUUUUAUAACGAACACUUUAAAACGUUUUGCGAAGCGUUUGUGGUUGAAUUUCACCUUAAAUUGAAGCUUAUAUUACGUAUAAUAACAUACCUAACAUAUAUAUGUUGGGAAAUUGAUAAUUUUGUAAAUAAUAGUGAUACUUUUAGGCGAUUUUUCAUUUGUAGGAAUAUUCCUAAAAAAAUAUCGUGUUACCAUGAUAACUACUUUAGAUACUUCAUGUUCGGAAAAUACAAUGGUUUUGUCAGCAAGGCGAGGGUUUCUGCAUGCAUGUAUUUUCUAGUUAUAGUGGUAUUAUAGUGGAGAAAAAUUUGACAUGUGACGGUUAUUGUUACCACAGGGAGCGAGCAAGGCAGCAAAUUUAAUUGAUGCAACUGGCAGAAUUCUCAAUUUUAAUCAACAGAUAGACCCAAAAUGCAAUGCACAAAUGCCCAAAAUGCAAUGCGCGCAGCUAAUAUGAAAAAUAAUCGAACAUCUACAUUUAUAACUUUUGCCAUGAACUUGACAUAAAUUUUUGUCAUAUUUCAAUUAUGUACAUUUUAGUAAAAAAGAUAAUUAACGAGUAAGCGAUGUAGCAACAUUACGUCCAGGGAAAUUUUGGCAUAUACUAUAUACACUAGUUUAUACUAGGUAUUUUAUACAUGGUUUAAUUUAGUAUUUAUAAGGAGUUUGUCGGUUUACCGUGUCAAGUCCGAGUCAAAUCAGAGCCCGAGUCAAAUGUCCGCCAGUCAAAUGUCCGAGUCACUAGCUGUUUAGCGGUCUUUGUAGUUCAUUGACGUAGUACCCUAACCCUACUCCUAACCCAGGGCUGUAGCAAACGUGGGCUGAUAAUCAUUCUUUUUGCAAAAUCAUGCAGACCUUUAUCAUUUAAAUAAUAUACCUUUAAAAUACUGACAAUUAAUUAAUUUUAAGCGACUACAUUAUCCCCAUGACAAACUGAAAAUAAUGAAGAUAUUUCUCAUAGUUUCCUGCAACUUAUCCAAUAUAUAGUUAAUUAACUACCCCUCCGCCCAUUUAGUGCUACUAAAUUGUAAAUUUCGACAUACUAAAAUGCUGUUUUCUUACCAUCAGAAUUCUCUCAAAUCUUCCUCAAAGUCCAGGAAAUGGCAUUUCAGAGACUCUAAAUUAAAAAAUUUUCUCGGGCCUUUGGCCCUCGCUUUCAGCUCCCCAAUCAAAAAGAGCUUCUAACGGCACUGUAACCCUAACCCUACUCUUAACCCUAUCCUCCUAACCAAUUUUACUCGUCAACGGGGAAGCUCUGCCAGGUAUGUCCCGAUUGUGCUCGGCAACUUUUUUGCGUUUGGAGCAACUUUUCCGCUCGAGCAACUUGAAGCAACUUUUUCUUUUUUGAGCAACUUUUUACUACACUCUUAGUAGCGAAAAAUGGUAUGACCCCAGCUUUAGCCUCUUCAGCUCUCUGCAUGCGCUUAACGGGUUAACCAAAAAAUCUGACAAUGUCUCUAGUUAAGCCAUUGCACCCCAGUACUUAUUUUUGUACUUGUUUUACGCCAGAUGAUUUUACUCGUCCACAGGAAACUCUGCAGCUUAAUAGGUUAAAUAGGCAUGCAUAUUAAUUGUUGAAAGCACAAGUAAACGAAAGAUCUGAUGCCUUUUACAACAAGUUUAAAGAGCUCAUUCCUAACAGUAUUGUACAUUUAUUAUAUCGUCGGUGGUGGUGGUGGUGGUGGGGGGGGGUACUAUUUUUUAUAAUUCAUGUCAAAGGGGUCAUUGAAUUUUUUUGCGAUGCAGAGUGUGGGGCAGGACAUUUUGUUUAGCUGUUAAUUGAAUUUUGCCAGCCUACCCCCGGUCAUAAAUAAUGAAUGGUCCCUUAGUAUAAGAAUUCCACUUGUGAUUCCACCUACUAAUAACUCGUACGGCUAGUUGAAAUCUUCAUUUAAACUUCAUUUAGACGUGAAUGAAUGCGUCUCUAACACAACAUGCAACGCCAGUGCAACAUGUAACAACACAGAAGGAUCUUAUACAUGCAUAUGUAAUUCUGGAUACAGUGGUGAUGGAUUUUCUUGCAUAGGUACGCACAGAAUUAGUAAUUAUUGUAUCUGUCGAAGAACUAGAAACCUGGUAUAAUUAUUAGUCCAAAUCUAGACCAGUGUCGAAAAUUUCAAUAAUCUGCCUUUUAGCUGGAAUCAAACGUGCGACCCAACGAUGCCGGUCCAGCGUUAUAACGAACUGGUUACGGAGUUACAGUCGUCAAUCUCUAACCACAAGUUCAUGUAUAAAUGUAAAAUGGAUCCCAAUGUAAGAUGUGUUUGUAAACAGCAGGAUUUUAGGCAUCUCACUUGUUAUGACUACUUGUUGAAGGGAUUUGCAAAUGGAAAUUUCAAGUGGAUUUUUAUAUAUUCAUUAGCCUCAGCGAGGAGCAUCAGCAAAGAAUGCAAUUCGAUGCCCGUACAUUUUCAUCACCUUAGCAUUUAUCCUGGAACGUCUGGUUAGAGCUCCACAACUGUUUCAUACUAUGAAUUAUAGGCAUAUAGGUGAUACUUGCAUCCCUAUCAGCCUACGUUUUGUUACUAUUGGCACUAACAUCACUGACAAUAGUAUAUCUAUUCUUCAAUUUUGUUCUUCCAUGCAACAGAGUAGUAAGCGGCGAGAAAAUUAGGUACACGAACUAGUAUUUCUUAAACUAUAGAGCUAUUUGCUUUCAUCCAUUUAGUAUUAAUAUAUAAAAACUAUGCUUCCUAUAUAGAAUUAAUUAUACAUGCAGUAACAAAAUCAAGAUAUGCAUGUACAGAAGCGAACGUACAAAUACAUUUAUUCACUUUAAUUAAGCUGGAGCCCGAAAUGAUAGUCAAGAACUUAAUGAGAUAUUAUAUGUUUUAUAUUCACUGAGUCUCAUGGCGAAGUGAGCUUGCUUUUUUUGUUGGGCAAACAUGUAGCAAUUUUAAUACAUUAAGUUGCUUAGGUCACUGCAUAACCACAACCUCAUUGGAUUGAAAUUGAAACUCCUCGACAGGAUUGUUUCAAUUUCUAUUACUAUCCCACCCUCUUUCAUCCAAAUUACUCAUUUAUCUCCCUUCAAACGAGUUUCGAGUUCGACGCCUUUCGAACAACCGGGCCCAGAUCUUGUAGCAGAUUAUGUAAGAGUACGUUCUUUUCUUAUCAAAGAAAGUUGAAAAUCUCGGAAUUUAAAUUGGAAGAAAUUUUUUUUGGAGAAGCACGGGUUUUUGAGUAGUGGUUAUAUGUUGCGAAUCAUGAUUUUUCGCGCCUAAUUCUUGGAGCUAUACGUCUACAUUGAUUGCGUAUAUUUCUGCUAUUUCAGAUAUCAAUGAGUGCUCUCAAAGUCCUGCGAAAUGUGGAGAGGGUCAGACGUGCAAAAACUAUCCUGGUACAUAUCGUUGUCGUUGCAACAAUCCUGGCACCUAUGUAGUUAAUGGAUCCUGUGAAG
rnacentral:lncRNA from 1 species